GGGGGUAUAGCUCAGCUGGGAGAGCAGCAGACUGAAGUUCAUUUCGGGUAUUCUGAAGGUCCCGCGUUCGAUCCGCGGUACCCCCA